GCACCAGCUGUCAGAGCACCGCUGAAGCCCCUCCAAGGGGCCUGGUGUGGAGGAGGGGGAGGGAGCCGGGGUAUGUCUGAGCACACCCUGAGGCACAACUGAGUAGCUGAAUGAUUCAGGACAGAGCCAAGCCAGGGGCGCUGUGGGCUCU